GCAAUACGAGAGCGGCAGACGGGAGAGUAACACGUGGGAACGUACCCUUCGGUUCGGAACAACCCAGGGAAACUUGGGCUAAUACCGGAUACGUCCGUAAGGAGAAAGAUUUAUCGCCGAAGGAUCGGCCCGCGUCUGAUUAGCUAGUUGGUGAGGUAACGGCUCACCAAGGCGACGAUCAGUAGCUGGUCUGAGAGGAUGAUCAGCCUCACUGGGACUGAGACACGGCCCAGACUCCUACGGGAGGCAGCAGUGGGGAAUAUUGGACAAUGGGCGCAAGCCUGAUCCAGCCAUGCCGCGUGGGUGAUGAAGGCCCUAGGG
rnacentral:rRNA from 1 species